UACGUAGGGGGCUAGCGUUGUCCGGAUUUAUUGGGCGUAAAGAGCGUGUAGGCGGCCAGGUAGGUCUGGUGUGAAAACUCGAGGCUUAACCUCGAGAUGUCAUCGGAAACCAUUUGGCUAGAGUCCGGAAGAGGAGAGUGGAAUUCCUGGUGUAGCGGUGAAAUGCGCAGAUAUCAGGAAGAACACCAAUGGCGAAAGCAGCUCUCUGGGACGGUACUGACGCUGAGGAGCGAAAGCGUGGGGAGCGAACAGG
rnacentral:rRNA from 1 species